AAUAGCGUAUAUUAAAUUUGUUGCGGUUAAAAAGCUCGUAGUUGGAUCUCGCUCUGUGUGCGUGUUUUCAAGUGAUGUGAACACGGUUCUGUGGUCCUUGCAGGUCCUUACAUGCUCCAGAUAGGUGUGCAACCUCCCUGAUCGACUAUUGUCUUUCAUAGGCGGCGUCUCUAGCUGGUUCUAUGUAAGCCUGCUUGGUCCUGGAGCUAGCUGGUUCGCAUUGAUAUACUUGACUACACAUAUAACACACAGUGGCAAUUGAGUUUGUGUGAAGCGCCUCUUAACCGAGGACUUUUGCAUUUUAAAACUCAUAAUGAUUACUUUGAACAAAAUAGAGUGCUCAAAGCGGGCAAUGCCUCUCUACAAGGCUUGCUUGAAUAUUACCCCAUGGAAUAUCAGAACAGGACUACUGUCCCGCUUUCUGUUGGUCUCCGGGAUAGAAGUAAUGAUUAAGAGGGACAGACGGGGGCAUCAGUAUAGUGACGCUAGAGGUGAAAUUCUUGGACCGUCGCUAGACUAACAACAGCGAAAGCAUUUGCCAAGAAUGUUU
rnacentral:rRNA from 1 species